rnacentral:misc_RNA from 1 species
CUUUCGGGCGCUCAAUUCAUCACAAUCGAUCAGUAGCCCGGGGUUUUCGGCUACUUGAAUCCACUUCACAUCCAUCGACAGGAGGGCCCGGCAAAUCAGAGAGGCAACAAUGGAGGCCGAGGAAGUUACAAAACUCGUGGAUGGCGUGUACCGGAACAUACUCGAUCGAUUCAAUCCGGGUGCCAGGCAGCUGAUCGCAGCGGGCAAAAGUUACCUCAAGGCGUUGCACGGUGCCGCAACCGCCUCGCGUCUAUUCAAUGAAGCAUUGGCCAAGAUUGCGAUGAACGCCCAGCAAAGCGGAACGGGCGAUAUUGGUUCGGCUUUGAUGAGCGUUGUGAACGUGAACAAGGAGAUACAGGAUCAGCAGAUGAAUAUUCUGAAAGCCUUUUACGUGGAUCUUUUGGUGCCAUUGGAGACAAAUCUGGAGAAGGACACAAAGGUGGUGCAGCAUGAGCAGAAGAAGUUCCUGCAGCAGCACAAGGUGCGAAUGGAGAGCUAUCAGAAGGCCGUCUCCACGAUGAAGAAGCAGCGCAAGAAAAAGGCCACGCCCGAGAACACCGAAAAGGAGCUUAGGAGCCUCCAAUUGCUCGAGGAUCAGAAGAAAAAGCUGGAUGUGUUCUGCGAUCAGAGCUACAAGAAUGCCAUGACACAGGAGCGACGACGGUACGGAUUCGUCUUGGAGCGCCAGUGCUCGAUCGCCAAGCACUGGAUGGUCUACCACACCACCGGCAAGACGGUAAUUGAUAAUAAUUUGGAAAAUUGGCAAGAGAUUGCCGCUUCUCGUGAGAUCAUUCCCCCGGCCGCCUAUGAAAGUGGAUACAGCACCAGCAACGGACAGAACAACAACACCAGCGGCAACAUGCGACGCCUGGAGCGCAUUAAGGACGGCGAGGAUGACCACCUCCAGGGUCACGGAGCUCAGCUGAAGAAGUCGCGCAGCAUCGAUGCCCCCUAUGGUGACAUGCGCACCCUGCACGAACGGGAGAACAUUUCCGGAUUGGGCGGAACUGGGCCAUCGCACUACGCCCAGAACUCGCUGCCACGCGCAAAAUCCGAUUUCAAUCUGGCUUUAGUUGGCACUGGACAAAGCUCAGCCAACAAGCACAAGAUCAUUGAGGAGCAGCUGGCCACUCUGGGCGACGAUCAGCGCGGUGAUCAGCGUCCGCUGGUGAAGGCCCUCUACGCCUACAUGCCCUCCGGGGAGAACCAGUUGUCCUUCGAGGAGGGCGACCGCAUUGCUCUGGUGGGCGGCAAGGCCAAGGGCUGGCAAUUCGGUGAGAAUCUGCGGACACAGCACUUUGGCUGGUUCCCGGUGGCCUACACCAAUGCGGAAGUGGCGGAGACGGCCACUUCCGGUGGCCGGCGAUACGAAAACAUGCUGAUGAGCUAUGAGCGGAAUGGAGGCGGUUCCGGUUCAGGUUCUGGCGGAGGCGGUCUGCGCAGCUAUCAGCAGCAGCAGGACUACGAGGCGCAGCUGGAGCUGAUGGAGAGCCAUGAGGCCACAUACCGCAGGCGAAGGAACCACAGCGCCGAGGAGUCAUCACCCACGCGAAUGUUCGGCGACACAAUCAAGCAGCAGAAGAAGUACCGACCCGGAUCCGGAGCCAAUCCUCGCCCGGGUCCGCCACCCACUCUGCCCGCUCCGGUGCCCAAUGGACCGCAGAGCCAGUCAUCCAGGAUGCUGAACAGCUCGCAAAGCUUCUGUGCCUCCAACGGAGGAGUCACUGCGGCGGUGGAAAGACGCAAGCAAAAGCUACUAAAUGGAGUGCAGAGUUCCAAGAACCAUCCAUCGGGCAAAUCCGGAGUGGCUGCCAAGACCUCGCUGCACAGCAGCAAUGACAGUGGAUUCGCCAACGAGCCGCCGCCACAGCCGGAGGUUGACUAUUCGGAUGAGGAGCCAGCCACACAAAGAGUGGCCAUUCGACGCCGGGCGGACACCAAUUCGCAUACCAACACGGUGCCCAGGGAUGUGGCCUCGUGGACGUUGAACCGGAACUUCCGGAACAGCGUCGAUAGUCAGAUCGACGACAAGAGCCUGCAUCGGCUGAGCCGGCAGAGCGGAGGAGUCGGAAAGAUGCGAUACGAUCUUAUUGCCUCCGAUGACGAGAUCCUGCAGGCUUCCAGUGCCGGUCUGAAGCGCACCAAAUCCUUCUGGAAAUUUGGCGGCGGACGCAAUGGCGAGGACAUACUGGCCGGCAUGUCUUUGUGGCAACACCGCGACCUGGUGGCGGCUCCAAAUCUGGAGGAGAUGCGCGACAGGGAUGACCUGGAGCGUCGUUUGGAGGAGGAUCGCAAUGGCACACUGACCAAGUCGCACAACUCCAGUUCAUCGCAGGAGAAGCGCGAACGCAAGGACAGCCUGACCAGCACCGAAUUGUAUGGCGAUGAGGAUGAGAAUAUCUACGGAGUGAGUCCACAGCAACCGCCACAGCAGCAGCAGCAGCAACAACAGCAACAGCAGCAGCAGCAGCAGCACAGGAGCAGCUAUACUCCCAAAUCCCGCAUGAAGAUCAUGAAGACCAUUGAGAUUGAUAUUGAGGAGCCAACGGAGGCGGAGCGGAUGAGCACCAUGCGACGUGGUCAGUCGCAGGAUCAGCAGCAGCAUGUGCAGCAGCAGCACCGAAAGUUGGACAAACAGAUUUCCGGCACCGGAUCGCAACACAAAUCCCUGACAUUGAGUCGCACCAAGAGCAACCAGCAGCUGCAGCAGCAGCAGUUUCCACAAUCCACGGAUGAGGGUGAAAGCGAUGAGCACGGAACCCUGAAGCUCAGCGAUGUGAACAACUUCUUUGACGGGGAGGGCAAGAACAACAGCCAUGGCCAUGGGCUGGUCAUGAAGACGGUGAAGCGACAGGACAUACUCAAGCAGUAUUAUACCAGCGAGGACGAGGAGGAUUCCGAUGCGGAGCUCAAGUCGACUAGCUCCGAUCCCUACGAUUGCAUCGUAAUCAACGAUCACCUGGUGCGCAAGGAUGACAAGAUGCGGCGGCAUCACCAGCAGCAGCAUCAGCAAAUGGAGUUCCACACCUUCCGUUCCUCCACAUCCACGACGGCGACCAAUACGCUGAAAAAGAGCGCCUCCAAGGACCAGGACAGCACACUGACCCGCAAUUCCACGGCCAGUUCGGGUGCACCGACGGCUACCAUCCUGCCGCGAACACGCCUGCUCAAGUCCUCCGCCUCCGCCUCCGCUGGUAAUAACAUCGCCAACAGCAGUGCCACCUUGGAGCGGAACUCAAAGGGCCUGGGCGGAAACAAGAGCUACGGACCAUGGUACGACUUCUGGGAUCAGGAACAGCAUGGCCAGAAGUUGGCCAGCGCCAAGCUAAAGUAAUGAAAGGGUUAAGAAUCGGUGCGUGUACGUAAUAAUACAACAAUUUCGCCGUCUUCUUACCGGUUAAGAAAAUGGGCAGAGAGAGAGCGUGAAAGUGGAGGGAAAGUGCGGCUGAGGGAAAGGAUAAGUUACGUAAGAGUGAUCCCCAGCAACCCAACCCUUUUCCAGUUCGCCUUGUCUCCUCACUUUGAAUUAAGCAUUAUUUACCCUGUAUAAUUUCUUAGUUUAGCCUAAGGCAAAUUCUGUUUUGUUUGUUUAUGUACAUAUCAUAUAUAUUAAUCGUAAGGCAAUUGCAAUUUUGUGUUUGCCAACGACGUGCGAUGGCAAUGGAAAAAUGUCAAUUCAUUCCUGUACAUGCCAGAGGAAACUUUCUAGAACAAGGACCUCUCCAUUGAACAUUCAAACCUUUGAGCUUCGGUGCCUGCAUGCAUAUCAUUAAAUGUAUUUUGUUUAAGACUAAGCUCACGCCCUGUUUCGCCAUUGGUUAGUCGGAAUAAUGCAAAUGUCAAUUGGUUUUAGGAGGCGCGGUAUAUAUCGCAACUAUUCCAUAGAUUACUGACCUGUAGCGAGCCCGUGUAUCCCAGCUAGCCCCACCAUUCCCCGUAUUAGAUUGCAUUUCCAGCCAGCCUCCCAGUUCGCCACGGUCAAGUUGCGACACACCAAGACCAACGACCGAUCGGCACCGAUGAUCUAUCGGAGUGUGAACAAGUAGCAACG